rnacentral:lncRNA from 1 species
GGGGCACAUACUAAAUCGUACAACUCAUCAGUCGCACCCUCUUCUUUAUUGAAAUACUUAUAUUUCAUCUACACGAUAACAUAAAAAAUUAUGUUGGUUCAAAUAAUUAUUUCUAUAAUUAUUAAAAAUAAUGUAUUACUAGUGCAACUUACAAGAUCACCAAAUUAUUUUAUAAAUUUUUUCUUGUACUGAUCAUCAGCAUCC